rnacentral:rRNA from 1 species
CUAUACAUGCAAGUCGAGCGGACAGAUGGGAGCUUGCUCCCUGAUGUUAGCGGCGGACGGGUGAGUAACACGUGGGUAACCUGCCUGUAAGACUGGGAUAACUCCGGGAAACCGGGGCUAAUACCGGAUGGUUGUUUGAACCGCAUGGUUCAGACAUAAAAGGUGGCUUCGGCUACCACUUACAGAUGGACCCGCGGCGCAUUAGCUAGUUGGUGAGGUAACGGCUCACCAAGGCAACGAUGCGUAGCCGACCUGAGAGGGUGAUCGGCCACACUGGGACUGAGACACGGCCCAGACUCCUACGGGAGGCAGCAGUAGGGAAUCUUCCGCAAUGGACGAAAGUCUGACGGAGCAACGCCGCGUGAGUGAUGAAGGUUUUCGGAUCGUAAAGCUCUGUUGUUAGGGAAGAACAAGUGCCGUUCAAAUAGGGCGGCACCUUGACGGUACCUAACCAGAAAGCCACGGCUAACUACGUGCCAGCAGCCGCGGUAAUACGUAGGUGGCAAGCGUUGUCCGGAAUUAUUGGGCGUAAAGGGCUCGCAGGCGGUUUCUUAAGUCUGAUGUGAAAGCCCCCGGCUCAACCGGGGAGGGUCAUUGGAAACUGGGGAACUUGAGUGCAGAAGAGGAGAGUGGAAUUCCACGUGUAGCGGUGAAAUGCGUAGAGAUGUGGAGGAACACCAGUGGCGAAGGCGACUCUCUGGUCUGUAACU